ACUCCUACGGGAGGCAGCAGUGGGGAAUAUUGCACAAUGGGCGAAAGCCUGAUGCAGCGACGCCGCGUGAGGGAUGACGGCCUUCGGGUUGUAAACCUCUUUCAGCAGGGACGAAGCGAAAGUGACGGUACCUGCAGAAGAAGCACCGGCUAACUACGUGCCAGCAGCCGCGGUAAUACGUAGGGUGCAAGCGUUGUCCGGAAUUACUGGGCGUAAAGAGUUCGUAGGCGGUUUGUCGCGUCGUUUGUGAAAACCAGCAGCUCAACUGCUGGCUUGCAGGCGAUACGGGCAGACUUGAGUACUGCAGGGGAGACUGGAAUUCCUGGUGUAGCGGUGAAAUGCGCAGAUAUCAGGAGGAACACCGGUGGCGAAGGCGGGUCUCUGGGCAGUAACUGACGCUGAGGAACGAAAGCGUGGGUAGCGAACAGGAUUAGAUACCCUGGUAGGU
rnacentral:rRNA from 1 species